rnacentral:lncRNA from 1 species
AAAAUGAUACCAAAAAUGCAAGAUUAGUGCCCGAGCCUGCUGAGAAUCUGAUCUAGGAAAUUGCAGUUCUGAGGCUGGAAGUGUCCGUCCGGGACAAUAUCUCCUUUCAUUGCAGCUGAGAAGCAGAGAUGCUGCAGGAGAAUUCUACAGGCUUCGAGUUGUGGAUGGGGUCAUCUUUGAGCCACUCAGGGGUGCACAUGCAGAUCUGUCUUGAACUCUUUCCAGUGUAUUGAAGCAUUGUCUGUUAUAGAUAAUUUUCUGAAGCUGAAAUAUAAAGACUGUAAAAAUUCCAAAGCUCUCAAUAAGGCCGCCCCUGUGAAUCUUGCAUAUCAUGCCUAUGGUACACCUUGGUCAAUCAUUGUACUGUGUUAACAACCAGAAUUCGGAUUUCCAAUGCGCCUGAAGAGAGAAGGAUAUGGUUCUAUGAAGCACAAAAAAAUUGAUUUCUAUGUGUCAUUUAUUCUUUUGAGCAAGAGUUACAUCCAAGGAAGAUAGAAAAACUACAGAUGAAAUAGAACCUCUAGAUUGCAGAGUGGUUAUCAAACUCCAGGAUUCUGCAGUAGCAGAGCUCUUUGG